CAGCCCCCGCCGCGCCCAGCCUCGCGUCCAAGUGGGACACAGACAGCUCCACACAGCCGGUGCACCGGUGCCGGAGAAACCCAAGAGGGGGCCAAGGGACAGGCUGAGCUACACAGCCCCUCCAUCGUUUAAGGAGCAUGCGACAAAUGAAAACAGAGGUGAAGUAGCCCCUGAACCCAGCGAACUGUGAGUUCUUCUCAUUUAUCCCAUGUUGUUAUUCCUGCCACUUUAAUUAGAAAGACAUCACUUAGGGAACAAAUGAAUGUUGGUGAUUUGAGUCUUUUCAGCAUGAUCAGGGAAGAUGAAAGUCGACCCUAGGUCAAAUUCCAACUUCAUUGCUUAAAAGUGGAAAACAAGCGUCUCUCUGUUCUCUGAGGAAAUGAAAAUAAAGGUCCAUUUCUCGAUUGAAGGUAUUCCCUCUAUUUCCAUUUAUAUUUUUUUCAUUAGGUCAUAAUUCCUUUGUGUUUUUUUGUUUUUGUUUUUGUUUUUGUUUUUUUUGAGACGGAGUCUUGCUCUGUUGCCCAGGCUGGAGUGCAGCAGUGUGAUCUUGGUUCACUGCAACCCCUGCCUCCCAGGUCCA
rnacentral:sRNA from 1 species